GAUGAAGAACGUAGCGAAAUGCGAUAAGUAAUGUGAAUUGCAGAAUUCAGUGAAUCAUCGAAUCUUUGAACGCACAUUGCGCCCGCCAGCAUUCUGGCGGGCGUGCCUGUUCGAGCGUCAUUUCAACCCUCGAGCCCCCCCGGGGGCCUCGGUGUUGGGGGACGGCACACCAGCCGCCCCCGAAAUGCAGUGGCGACCCCGCCGCAGCCUCCCCUGCGUAGUAGCACACACCUCGCACCGGAGCGCGGAGGCGGUCACGCCGUAAAACGCCCAACUUUCUUAGAGUUGACCUCGGAUCAGGUAGGAAUACCCGCUGAACUUAAGCAUAUCAAUAAGCGGAGGA
rnacentral:misc_RNA from 1 species